UACGUAGGGGGCGAGCGUUGUCCGGAUUUAUUGGGCGUAAAGAGCUCGUAGGCGGUUCGAUAAGUCGGACGUGAAAUCUCCACGCUCAACGUGGAGGGGCCGUUCGAUACUGUCGUGACUCGAGUCCGGUAGGGGAGUGUGGAAUUCCCGGUGUAGCGGUGAAAUGCGCAGAGAUCGGGGAGGAACACCCGUAGCGAAGGCGGCACUCUGGGCCGGUACUGACGCUGAGGAG
rnacentral:rRNA from 1 species